GAGAUGAAUAGGGCCCUUCGAACAACUCUCCGCACUCUGAACAAAAGGUCAUCAUACAGGGCGACCAAAACAGUUUCUGUGCCAAAACCAGGCCCAAACCCCGACUGAAAUGGAUCCAGAAAAUCACUUUCCAGAAAAUCCAGUGAAUGACAUGAGAGGAUGAUCCCUGGCCUUGCUGCAGUUUAAAUUUCCUAUGCCCACGCUUCCUGUCGGUGCUGAAUAAACACUGGGCCACCCCUCGGUGGGGCCCUGCCCAGCACCGGCAACACGGCCAGGCAGCGACAAUGAGGGGGCUGCUUUUCACCCGCAGCUGGAUCAUUGCUGGCCCAAUGCCUGGCCACAACACCACCCAACAGAAAAAAUGUUCUUUAGUCUUCAAGUUUUCUGCAGUUUCCAAGGUUCUUCAGUCUAAGACGUCUUCCACUUUGGCUGAUGCGGGAAAGACAAUGCCAAGAACUCAGGAUGAGAAUUCAGAAGAUGCAAGCUUCAUUAUUACU